rnacentral:rRNA from 1 species
UACAGAGGUCUCAAGCGUUGUUCGGAUUCAUUGGGCGUAAAGGGUGUGUAGGUGGCGCGCUAAGUCGGGUGUGAAAUUUCGGAGCUUAACUCCGAAACUGCAUUCGAUACUGGCGUGCUUGAGGACUGGAGAGGAGACUGGAAUUCACGGUGUAGCAGUGAAAUGCGUAGAGAUCGUGAGGAAGACCCGUGGCGAAGGCGGAUCUCUGGACGGCUAACUGACGCUGAGGCGCGAAGGCCAGGGGAGCAAACGGG